ACGGCCCUACGGGUUGUAAACUGCUUUUGUACGGGAAGAAUAAUGCCCACGUGUGGGCAGAUGACGGUACCGUACGAAUAAGGACCGGCUAACUCCGUGCCAGCAGCCGCGGUAAUACGGAGGGUCCAAGCGUUAUCCGGAAUUAUUGGGUUUAAAGGGUCCGCAGGCGGGCCAGUAAGUCAGARGUGAAAGUUUGCGGCUUAACCGUAAAAUUGCCUUUGAUACUGCUGGUCUUGAGUUGCG
rnacentral:rRNA from 1 species